GUAGAUAUAGUUUAAAAAACACCAGACUGUGAAUCUGGAGACAGGAUAUAGAAUUCCUUAUUUACC
rnacentral:tRNA from 1 species